AUGAAUGCAGCCACCUUAGAGAGAUUAGUAUUCAGUGAGCUCCUGAAGAAGUAUUGCUCCCACACAGGAAGCUAAUACAGAGAAACCUAUGCAUAGAGAAAAUUAGCUACUUAGGAGGCAGUGCCUAGGACAUUAGUCUCUAAAAGUCACUUUUUAUUUUUCUCUUCUACCUUUAAAGCUUCUAGCCAGGUGUGGUGGCCCAGUUCUGUAAUGCCAGUCCUUGGGAGGCAGAGGCAGAAGGAUGCCAUCAAAAAUAAGGAUUAAUCUAGAAGAAAAUGUACAGUAUGUGUCCAUGAGAAAAGCUCUGAAAGUGUAGAGGCCUCGGUUUGAUGUGUCGUUGCUGGUGUAUUUAACUCGGAAGUUUAUGGAUCUUGUUAGAUCUGCCCCGGGGGCAUUCUUGACUUAAACAAGGUUGCCACAAAACUGGGUGUCCGGAAGAGGCGAGUAUAUGACAUCACCAAUGUCUUGGAUGGCAUCGAACUGGUGGAAAAGAAAUCUAAGAACCACAUUCG